CUGACGACCGUCGCGGGGACGGACGGUGUGUGUGUAUGUGCCUCUGAGCCGCUUCUAACAUGUGAAAUGAAGAAACUACCGGAGUAACGUGAAGGUUCGCGCCGAGAAACGCCAGCACACAAAAAAGGUUGUUUUUUUUGAACCGAGGACGAGGUAUCGCUGGAGGGAAAGACGCGUUGGCGAAUUUCGCUCCAGAGGCCUGAGUGCCAUGCCAGAGGGGUCCCAUUCUGCUCUCCACCAGGGCCCAAUGGGGGAAGCUUUUCCAGACCAGUGGGCAUAGGCCUGUGGACAUAGAGAGACGAUGGCAGGGAUGGUUGUGUCUCUGAGUGGGGCUUGUUAAUGGAGCUUCUGGACUGGAACACUGUCUCUGCUCAAUUGCCCAAAGCAUUAACCACCUGCAGCCUCAGGUGAACCUGAAUCGACUCCUGGUAAGCAAAGGUCAAGUCAUGCACUGCCACUGACGCAUCCACACAUACAAUGUUUUAGUUUUAAUAACACAUUACUGCUGCUACUUUUACAACCGACGUCCACCCUACUCCGGAGUUUUCGAGCGUGAUCGCUUCUUAUCGGUCAUCAUGACUACCGGCGGUGAAGGCAAAGAGUUGUAAACACUUACCAUCGUAACCGUUCCACCUCGGCGUUGGUCCAAGAGGAGAAAGCCCUGCUCUUACUUUUCACCAUUGCAGUUUCUCAUUGCGGAGUAGACAAUCUGCUUCUUGUUUUACACCGGCGCGCACAAGCCCAAAGUACGUGAGUGGUCACAUGAUAUGCGUUUUCAGGUGUGUUGGUAUGGACGGAGAUCAGCUCUGAUACAGAGCUAAAACACUCGACUGGA
rnacentral:lncRNA from 1 species